AUGCAUGGAAACAGUAGCACGUAGAUUAAAAUUAAAACAAUACAGAAAAGAUUCAUGAGGCCUCUGCACAAAGAUGGCAUGCAAAUUCUUAAAAUAUUGCAUUUUUUC